rnacentral:rRNA from 1 species
UGACACAGAAGGAUAGGGAAUCGCACGAAUGGAAAUGUGCGUCCAAGCAGUGAGUGUGAGAAGUAGGCAAAUCCGCUUCUCGCGAAGCAUGAGCUGUGAUGGGGAAGGAAAUUAAGUACGGAAGUUCCUGAUUUCACGCUGUCAAGAAAAGCCUCUAGGAAGAGUAGUACUGCCCGUACCGCAAACCGACACAGGUAGAUGAGGAGAGAAUCCUAAGGUGAGCGAGAGAACUCUCGUUAAGGAACUCGGCAAAAUGACCCCGUAACUUCGGGAGAAGGGGUGCUCUAUUAGGGUGCAAGCCCGAGAGAGCCGCAGUGAAUAGGCCCAGGCGACUGUUUAGCAAAAACACAGGUCUCUGCAAAACCGUAAGGUGACGUAUAGGGGCUGACGCCUGCCCGGUGCUGGAAGGUUAAGAGGAGUGCUUAGCUUCGGCGAAGGUACGAAUUGAAGCCCCAGUAAACGGCGGCCGUAACUAUAACGGUCCUAAGGUAGCGAAAUUCCUUGUCGGGUAAGUUCCGACCCGCACGAAAGGCGCAACGAUCUGGGCACUGUCUCAACGAGAGACUCGGUGAAAUUAUAGUACCUGUGAAGAUGCAGGUUACCCGCGACAGGACGGAAAGACCCCGUGGAGCUUUACU